rnacentral:tRNA from 2 species
GGGCCCGUGGCGCAGUGGUUAGCGCAGGGGACUCAUAAUCUCUUGGUCGCUGGUUCGACUCCAGCCGGGCCCACAA